GGUAAAAUGGCUGAGUAAGCAUUAGGCUGUAAACCUGAAGACAGAGGUCUGAUCCUCUUUUUGCCAGCCCC
ensembl:Mt_tRNA